rfam:Gossypium hirsutum cultivar TM-1 chromosome 1, whole genome shotgun sequence
UGUUAAAAAUUUCAUCCAUUUGUAUUGUUAAAAAUUGUCGUGGUUGACGGGAUAACCAUAUAGUGACAUGUAGCAUGCCACGUAUACUGCAUGCUAACGUACAAAGUCUAGUUUUUAACAGUAGAAAUGAAUGAAAUUUUAAUA